GGCAACCUAGACUGGUGGGAUGGUGUUUUUUAAUUUUAUUUAUCUAUACUUUAAAACUAUUCAAAAUUGUGCUUUAACUUACAUGGUAAAGGGAACAAAUACUCUGUACCACUGAAUGAAUUUUUAACGUAUAUAUCCACAUGCACUCUUGUACCCAUCUUCCAGAAUCUGAAAAAGGUGCCUCAUGCCUGCUCCCAGGCAGUACCGCCAAAGGUAACCACUGCUGACCUCCUUGCCACUGAAUGCUUUUGCCUGGUCUUGAACUUGGUGUGAAUGGAAUCAUACAAAUCACUGUUUCUCUUGGUGGUUUCUCAUUCUCACGGCUGUGGAUCUGCCAGUUGUUUCUGAUGGUGUGGGCGCUGGUGCCCUUCAGAAAGGCCUCUCUGAUUGACAGGAUUUGGAAGAUCUCCGGUUCAUUCAGCUGCACUUCUUGUCAUGGGAUAUGGCAGCGCGUCUCAAACUUGCCUGGGAACCGGACGCAGAGAAGCCAGGAGCCGGAGCCCAGAUUUGGGCACAACUUCUCCCUAGGGGUCUGCUUGUUCAGACGAGGCGUCGAGGCAACUGUCUGCACAGUCGUCAUCGUAACUAGAAAGUAGCGGGGGUACUGGAACAGCUUCGUUGCUUUAGAAUAGGCCGUCUCGCCGUUCAUCAUAUUUGAGACUUCUGUGAAACUACAUCGUGUGGAAGUUGGUGGCCUUUUGAGAAAAAUGUAAUGGUAUUCACAUUUCUUCCUAUACCACUCGGGGAUUUUAAACAA
rnacentral:lncRNA from 1 species